CUGAUAACCCAGAAACUGAAGUCCUUUAUUCAUUCACAGAGCAGGUACAACAGUGGUGCAAGCUUCCCCACACUGUCCCUUCUAUAUGACUCUAUUUUGACCCCAUCUAGGAAUGAGAGGGUAGCUCAGUUUCCAUAAUCCAUUCAAAUACUUGGCUUCU
rnacentral:sRNA from 1 species